UACGUAGGCAGCGAGCGUUGUUCGGAGUUACUGGGCGUAAAGGGUGUGUAGGCGGCCUCUUAAGUUUGGUGUGAAAUCUCCCGGCUCAACUGGGAGGGUGCGCCGGAUACUGAGGGGCUCGAGUGCGGGAGAGGAAAGUGGAAUUCCUGGUGUAGCGGUGAAAUGCGUAGAUAUCAGGAGGAACACCGGUGGUGUAGACGGCUUUCUGGACCGUAACUGACGCUGAGACACGAAAGCGUGGGUAGCAAACAGG
rnacentral:rRNA from 1 species